rnacentral:lncRNA from 1 species
GUGCGCGUGCUCGCUGGUCCUAACGGUUCUGCUGGGCGUUUCUGCUGAGAGGCGGGAGGGGCUGAGAGUCUGUGCGAAGGUCGGUGGACAGACUGCACUGCUUGUUGUUGCGCUUCGGAGGCGGCGAUCCCCGAAGGCGAGCUGAAAUACGGCUGGAGCGUUCCCAGGCUACAGUUUGUAGCCGACGAUUAUGGAAGACUAAGAGCCGGAGAGGUGGCCCACCCUCAGGGAGCGCUUGUGCUCGGAGGGCUUCUCAUUUCCCCAAUACCACAUUAAAUCGUCUCAUCUGAGGAGGAUCCACAGAGCUGUCUUCUAUGGUAAUCUGGAGAAACUGGAGUACCUUCUGCUCAUGUAUCAUGACACCAAGGAGAGAGACAAGGAGGAAAGUUAUUCAUCAAGCAUAACCUGAA